rnacentral:rRNA from 1 species
UACGUAGGGUGCGAGCGUUGUCCGGAAUUAUUGGGCGUAAAGAGCUUGUAGGCGGUUUGUCGCGUCUGCUGUGAAAAUCCGGGGCUCAACCCCGGACUUGCAGUGGGUACGGGCAGACUAGAGUGUGGUAGGGGAGACUGGAAUUCCUGGUGUAGCGGUGGAAUGCGCAGAUAUCAAGAGGAACACCUGCGGCGAAGGCGGGUUGCUGGGCUGACACUGACGCUGAGGCGCGAAAGCUAGGGGAGCGAACGGG